UAUGUUCUCUCUAUACUCACCUUGGUAAGUUUUUAUCAUGAAUGGAUGUAGGACUUUGUCAGAUGCUUUCUCUGUAUCUAUUAGGAUGAUCAUGCGGUUUUUGAUUUUUCUUUUGUUAAUGUGGUAUAUGAUCUUUAUUGAUUUGCAUAUGUUGAGCCAUCCUUGUGCACCUGGGAUGAACCCCACCUGGUCAUGGUGUAGGAUCUUUUUAUAUUUUGCUGGAUUCAGUUGGCUAAAAUUUUGUUGAGAAUUUUUGUGUCUAUAUUCAUCAAAGAUAUUGGCCUAUAGUUUUCUUUUUGGGUGGUAUCUGUUUCUGGUUUUGGAAUUACGGUGAUGGUGGCAUCAUAGAAUGUAUUUGGGACUGAUCUUUCUGUUUCAACCUUUUGAAAGAAUUUAAGGAGAAUGGGUAUAAGUUCCUCUUUGUAUGUUUGGUAGAAUUCACCAAUUUGAAAAAGUUUAAAGAGGAUGGGUAUAAGUUCCUCUUUGUAUGUUUGGUAGAAUUUGGUGAAGCCAUCUGGUCCUGGACUUUUAUUUAUAGGGAGUGUUUUUAUGACAUAUUCAACUUCAUUUCUAGUGAUCGGUCUGUUCAGUUUUGGCAGUCUGUAAGACAAGGAUACCCACUCUCAUCACUGUUACUCAACACAGUACUGGAAGUCCUAGCCACAGCAAUCAGACAAACCAAAGAAAUAAAAGGCAUCCAUAUAGGAAGAGAAUAGGUAAAAUGGUUACUCUAUGCAGAUGACAUGAUACUAUAUAUAGAAAACCCUAAGGACUCAACCCCAAAACUGCUUGAACUGAUCAACAAAUUCAGCAAAGUAGCAGGAUAUACGAUUGACAUUCAGAAAUCAGUCACAUUUCUCUAUACUCACAAUGAAAUAUUAUAAAAGGAAUACAAAAGUACAAUACCUUUUCAAAUUGCACCCCCAAAAAUCAAAUAUCUGACAAUAUACCUGACCAAGGAGUUAAAGGACUUAUAUGCCGAGAACUAUAAAACAUUAAUCAAGGAAAUUAAAGAAGAUGUAAAGACUGGAAAGAUAUUCCAUGCUCCUGGGUUGGAAAAAUUAAUAUUGUAAAAAUGGACAUACUACCCAAAGCAAUUUAUAGAUUCAAUACAAUCCCUAUCAAAUUACCCAUAACAUUUUUCACAGAACUAGAACAAACAAUACAAAAAUUUAUAUGGAACAACAAAAGACCCAGAAUUGCCAAAGGAAUUCUGAGGAACAAAAACCAAGCAGGAGGCAUAAUUCUCCAAGAUGUCAGGUAAUAUUACAAAGCCACAGUUAUCAAGACAGUGUGGUACUGGUACCAAAACAGACAUACAGAUCAAUGGAACAGAAUAGAGAACCCAGAAAUAAACCCAGACAUCUAUGGUCAAUUAAUCUUUGACAAAGGUGGCAAGAACAUAAAAUGGGAAAAAGACAGUCUUUUCAGCAAAUAUUGUUGGGAAAUCUGGACAGCUGCAUGCAAAUCAAUGAAACUAGAACACACCCUCACACCAUGCAUGGAAAUAAACUCAAAAUGGCUAAAAGACUUAAAUAUAAGACAAGACACCAUCAAACUCCCAGAAGAGAACAUAGGCAAAACAUUUGAGGACAUCAACCUUACAAAUAUUUUCUGAGGUCAGUCUCCCAAAGCAACAGAAAUAAAAGCAAAAAUAAACCAAUGGGACCUAAUCAAACUGACAAGCUUUUGCACAGCAAAGGAAAUCAAAAAAGAAAAGAAAAAGACAACUUACAGAAUGGGAGAAAAUAGUGUCCAAUGAUGCAACUGACAAGGGCUUAAUCUCUAGAAUAUACAAGCAACUUGUACAAUUUAACAGCAAAAAAGCCAACAACCCAAUGGAAAAAAUGGGCAAAAGACCUGAAUGUACUGUUCUCCAAGGAAGAUAUACAGAUGGCCAACAAGCACAUGAAAAAAUGCUCAACAUCCCUGAUUAAUAGAGAAAUGCAAAUAAAAACUACCAUGAGAUACCACCUCACACCAGUCAGAAGGGCCAUCAUUAAGAAGUCCACAAAUAACAAAUGCUGGAGGGGCUGUGGACAAAAGGGAACCCUCCUGUACUGCUGAUGGGAAUCUAAGCUGGUACAAACACUACAGAGAACAGUAUGUAGGUACCUUAGAAAUCUAUACAUAUAACUACUAUAUAACCCAAAAAUCCCACUCUUGGGCAUAUAUAUCUGGACAAAACUUUCCUUGAAGAAGACACAUGCACCCGCAUGUCCAUUGCAGCACUAUUCCCAAUAGCCAAGACAUGAAAACAACCCAAAUGUCCAUCAACAGAUGAUUGUAUUAGGAAGAUGUCAUAUAUAUAUACACAAUGGAAUACUACUCAGCCAUAAAAAAGAAUGACAUAAUGCCAUUUGCAGCAACAUGGAUGGACCUAGAGACUCUCAUACUGAGUGAAGGAAGUCAGAAGGAGAAAGACAAAUACCAUAUGAUAUCACUCAUAUCUGGAAUCUAAUAUAAGGCAGAAAUGAAUGUUUUCACAGAAAAGAAAAUCAUGGACUUGGAGAAUAGACUUGUGGUUGCCAAUGGGCAGGUGGAGGAAGUGGGAUGGAUUGGGAGCUUGGCGUUAAUAGAUGCAAACUAUUGCUAUUGGAAUAGAUUAGCAAUGAGAUCCUGCUGUGUAGCACUGAGAACUAUGUCUAUUCACUUAUGAUGGAGCAUGAGAAUGUGCGAAAAUAGAAUGUGUACCUGUAUGUGUAACUGGGUCACCAUGUUGAACAGUAGAAAAAAUUGUAUUGGGGAAAUAACAAUAAAAAAUUUAAAAAAGAAAAAAGAGAAAAAAGGAAAAUAAAUAAUUUAUAUAUAUACAUACAUAUAUGUAUGAGUAUGUAUAUAAAUAUAUCUAACUGAAUCAUUUUGCUGUACUGCAAAAAUUAACACAAGAUUGUAAAUCAACUAUAAUUCAAUAAAAUAAAAAAAUGAUGAAGAUUAGUAAGAUGGAAAAUAGGGAAACCUGUAAGUACAGAAUACAUGGAGACAUCCUACCGCAGAAAGAACUUCUGAGAGGAAACCCUGAGAAACACAUACCGUCAAAGAGCAAAAUGACAUUGGUGGAUAUAGUAUUAGGGAAGAAACAAACUAUGUUCCACGUUUGG
rnacentral:lncRNA from 1 species